AAUACGUUCCCAGACCUUGUACACACCGCCCGUCAAGCCAUGGAAGCUGGGUGUACCUAAAGUCGAUAACCGCAAGGAGUCGCCUAGGGUAAAACUAGUAACUGGGGCU
rnacentral:rRNA from 1 species